GUAGGGGCGGCAGGUAGCCUAGUGGUUAGAGCGUAGGGGCGGCAGGUAGCCUAGUGGUUAGAGCGUAGGGGCGGCAGGUAGCCUAGUGGUUAGAGCGUAGGGGCGGCAGGUAGCCUAGUGGUUAGAGCGUAGGGGCGGCAGGUAGCCUAGUGGUUAGAGCGUAGGGGCGGCAGGUAGCCUAGUGGUUAGAGUGUAGGGACGGCAGGUAGCCUAGUGGUUAGAGUGUAGGGGCGGCAGGUAGCCUAGUGGUUAGAGUGUAG